rnacentral:lncRNA from 1 species
UAUGUUAGAAAAGAUCUGAAAAUUGUAACUUGUUGAUUCAGGUGUUGUAUAUCAUAAAAUUUCAUCCUUUAUUGGCCUAAUAAUUGAAGCCCAAGGAAGCCAAUUGAAAGACCCUGUCUUAUUUAAUCAAAUCACCCAGAAAAUUGUUCAAUUUCACUUUGGGAAAACGAUGCAAUAUGGCAGAAAGCCAGUGUGUUUGCAUUUGUCUUUGGGAAGCAAACACACAGCAAGCUGCUACAGCCCAUCCCAACAAAUAGUAGGUUUUCUUACUUGUAAGAAGUCCCUUCGUUAAUUAGUCACUUUUUGGAUGAUGAUUUUUUUCUUCUGAAGCACAAUCUGGUGCCAAGAAUUACCGGAAGUCUAGAAAAUUAUUUACCUGUCAUUGUUUAAUCUUGUUUCCUGUUCUGAGGCUCUUAAGAGGUCUUAUCCUAGUACAGAUUUUCUGUUUUGUUUUUUAAAAUUAGCUUUCAAGGAAAAGUACAGCCUCUUAAACCAAGACAGUGCUAUAAGGACCCUCAGAGUCCUCUAAACUUUCUCCAAAAAACAAGAUUAAUUUAGAAAUUAUCUCCUCUAGUUUCAACUUCAAGAUACUGAGUGUUGCAGUUCUAAUACUCUUAGAUUUAACCCUGAUGACCUAUGAGAAAUUAAUGUUGAAAAAUGGCAGCGUUUCUUAUCUUAUUCAUCGUAUGGUUUUCAGGAUUUAUAAAGCACAAAAAUUGUGACUAAUUAGCUUUAUUCAUCAAAAACUGCCCUAUGCACUAAUUCGGUAUAGAAAUUCCAAGUCCUUUUUUUCAGCAUACAAACAGCUUUCCAAGUGUUCUAUAGACACUUUGCAUCAAAUGUAAUUGAGUGUUUAUUGGAGAAGUAGAUUAAGAACCCUCCCCUGUGGUUAUUCAGAGUUGUGUGGUGUGGCCUAGGAAUUUGUAUUUUUAAAAAAAUCACUCCACUAGGCCUGUACAGUUUGUGAAUCUAGGAAUUGGUUUCUAAUUCAGUGCUUUAAAAAAAAAUGGAGUGGCUAUAAAGCAUAAUUCACUAGUUUGAAUAUAGAAUAUAGUAACCAACUAAAGUUACAAGAUUUAUGUCAGUAUAUACUAAGUCCUGCUGAAAAUUAGUUAAAGAUAAAUAGGAAAAUUGGAUAUCUCAGGAAGUUUCCAAUGAAACUAUUAAAUGUUUAGUAUAUAUACCAGUAUAGAAUGCAUUUACAGAAUAUGAAAAAUUAAGUGUUUAUAUCUAAACAGACUAAAAACAGCUGGUACUCUUUGAGUGUGGGGAAGAGUUUUUAAAUGUUGAAGGUCAUCUUACUGAGAUGGAGGAAUAACCAAUUCAGGUUCUUAAUCUCUAUAAAGUUCAUGAAGAUUCAUAUAUAAAUACGAUGAGUUUAUAAUCCAGGGGCCAUUUUGAUAUGAUAGGUUAAAAAUAUGAUACAGCAAACAUGUCAAUUGCUAAGCAUUUAGGGAGAACUUAGCUAUAUUUUCUGGUUUCUUGCCCUUUUUUUUUCUUAGUUCUUUUUUUCUUUUCUUUUUUUUUUAGAAACCUGUACAUUCUCUAUACUGAGAUUUAUUUAAGAAUGACAAUGUGAUCAUUGUUACUUAAAAAAUUCAUUUAUGUGUAUCCAGGAGGAGAUUUUUAAGGCCCUGUCAAAUUUCUGCUGUGUUGGCUCAUGUUCUGAGAAUUGUCAGUGAAAGAAAGCCAAAACCAAGUGUAGGUACUCCCAACCAAACUUUUGGCAUGGCUUCUUUCCUCAAUACACUUUAUCUCAAAGCUCACUUGCCUCUGGGAUGUAUAAAUUAAGAUAUUGAUGAUGCCAGAUAAAUGAAUUUGAUCUUUGCACAGUGUUGUGAGGUAACUGAUGCGCAGUUGAUGAGUUUGAUGUAAUUUAUUAACUCGAGCAGAUAGGUCAAACUUUUCAAAGGUUUAUUAGGUUUAGACUUUCACUUGCAUUUAUAUCUACAAUUGGCUAUUUACCUCUCUCUUAAAUGUGCACAAGAACCAGAUAGAGGUAUAAAAGUCUCAACUUUGUAAACUGGUUAAACUGUAGAUCAAAAACAGUUUGUCAUCUUGUGCAGUGUAUUCACAUUAUUCUAGUAAAGAAAAAUAAAAAUAGGGCAUUAACCUGUUACAUCAAAAUUAUAUCAUUAGCUUCAUCAAUAUUCUAUCAAUUUUAGUUUUCAAUAUUCGUUAAGGCAAAAGUUAUGUUAAUUUCUAUUUUAAUUAAGACCGUUGUCUUAUUUCUCUGUGUGACAUACCUAGAGUGGGUCUCUGUGACUAGGGUGGGUUUACAUUGAUUGAAGACCAGAACAGAAUUUUAAAACAAGGCCUAACUGAUCAGAGUGAUGUUAUACAUCUGGAAUCUUUAAUCACUGGUUUGGUCGUUCAUGGGAGGAUAAAGCUGUCGGACUAUAUACAUCCUGGAUAUACUAUACUUGGAUUUUAUUUGGGUGUCACACCAUCACCCUCCAUACAUCAUGAGACAACUAUGUGAAUAAUGAGACAAAAUGUGAAUACUACUAAUGGUAGUGCACCUCUGGUGAAAAUUAAACUUGAAAUAUUCACUUAGAGUCAAAAAAAAAAAAAA